GUCUAUAUGAAGUUAAAUAAAGUCUAUUCUGCCCAUUGAAUAAAUAUUUAAAAGGCCGCAGUAUCUUAACUGUGCAAAGGUAGCAUAAUCAUUAGUUUUUUAAUUGAAGGCUCGUAUGAACGAUUGGACAAGAGCUAAACUGUCUCUUUCUUAAAAAUUGAAUUUUAUUGUUAAGUGAAAAAGCUUAAAUGAAUAAGAAGGACGAUAAGACCCUAUAAAUCUUCAUAAAAUUUAAUCUUUAAAAAAAAAUAUUUAUUUAAAAUUUUUUAUAGAUUUAAAAUUAUUGUGCUGGGGCGGUGUUAAUAUAAAAAUAACUGUUAAUAUAUAAAACAAAUAUAUUUGAUAGUAAAUGAUCCUUAUUAAGGAUUAAAAGAGAAAGUUACUUUAGGGAUAACAGCAUAAUUUCUUUUGAGAGUUCAAAUCGAAAAAGAAGUUUGUGACCUCGAUGUUGAAUUAAGAAUUCCUUAUGGUGCAGCAGUUAUAAAGGAGAGUCUGUUCGACUUUUAAAUUUUUACAUGAUUUGA
rnacentral:rRNA from 1 species